rnacentral:lncRNA from 1 species
ACGGUGCGGCGUCCCGUCCUGCGGCGGCUCGCCUCGGAGCUGGGCUCGACGUGUGCCGCCGGCUGUCGGGCUGGUCCCGCUGGGACAGCGAGGAGUGCGCGGCCUCCCCCGGGCAGGUGUCUGACAGUCCCCGCGGCCGUGCGGUGUCCGCUCCGCUCCGGAUCAAGGAGGAUCCUCGGGACUGCGCCCCGGAGUGCCCGCUGUCGUGCGGCUGGAGUUUGGGAAGGCGGCGGUGGGUAGGGCGUGCGCUGCCAGCGCACCCACAGGAGCGCCUGAAGCAGAGCCCGAGUGUUUACUUAAAACCAGAACUAGCCGUGUUCCCUUCGCUGUGUAUGUCUCCGGGCAGAGAAACCCAAGCGGACUCGUGUGCAGGACUAUGGAUCCGCUCAUAUCUUUAUGGUUAUGGCAAAACCUUUCAUCAUCAGCCGAUGGUAUAAUGGACUACCAGUUGGAUGAUACACAGUCGUCUGAAACAUGAUAUAUACUUCUCCUCAUCCGUGUCCAUGGGUGAGUGGAGGGAGCAGCUUUCUUCCAGGAGAGUGUUUUACUGGAAGAGGGGGAAGAUCUUCAUGGUUAAAAGUCUGUCAGAGCUGUGUUACAAGUGCUGGGUUGGCAUGCAGCAAUGUACAUGGCCCAUAUGCUGACACAGUACCAGUUUUGUUUCCAAAAGUGGAGUUCACAGAAUUACAGUGUCUGAUCCAACUAGCUGCUCUGAUGAUCCUCACUGGACCAUACUAUGCCAGCAUGGAAUCAAAGUAGCCAAGCCAAGGACUGACCCAAAGGUGGACUGACUUUGGAGGAAUACCAAAGAAGGUGGGGAACUGUCUUGAUUUCUCCCUUUGUAGCAUAAGCAGGUGCUGAAAGCAUCUAUCAUCUUACACUAUGGACAAUGUAAUUUCUUCCUUUGUUUGCAGAAAUUCAGAAACUCAAUCAUAAAUUCUAGGUUUGAUACAUAUUUUACUCCAGGAAAAAAUAAGUCCUCACAGAGAACUGAUCUCCUCAAACCUGGUCCAGCUAUCCCAUCCAUUUCUUGUCUAUUAGGAAUGAGCAUUUAC